rnacentral:tRNA from 1 species
AGAGGGGUCGUCUAAUGGUAAGACUACGGACUCUGACUCCGUCUAUCGGGGUUCGAAUCCCUGCCCCUCUGCCA